rnacentral:rRNA from 1 species
UACGAAGGGGGCUAGCGUUAAUCGGAAUUACUGGGCGUAAAGCGUGCGCAGGCGGUUUUGUAAGCCAGAUGUGAAAUCCCCGGGCUCAACCUGGGAAUGGCAUUUGGGACUGCAAAGCUGGAGUGCGGCAGAGGGGACUGGAAUUCCUGGUGUAGCGAGUGAAAUGCGUAGAGAUCAGGAGGAAUACCGAUGGCGAAGGCAGGUCCCUGGGUUGACACUGACGCUCAUGCACGAAAGCGUGGGGAGCAA